rnacentral:pre_miRNA from 1 species
GUAAUACUCACUCCGUCCCAAAAAACUUGUUGGAGAAAUGGAUGUAUCUAGACGUAUUUUUAGUUCUAGAUACAUCAAUUUUUAUCUAUUUCUACAAGAAGUAAUUUCGGGCGGAGGAAGUAUAUU